rnacentral:rRNA from 1 species
GGAUCCAGACUUUGAUUCUGGCUCAGGAUGAACGCUAGCUACAGGCUUAACACAUGCAAGUCGAGGGGCAGCGGGAUUGAAGCUUGCUUCAAUUGCCGGCGACCGGCGCACGGGUGAGUAACGCGUAUCCAACCUUCCGUACACUCAGGGAUAGCCUUUCGAAAGAAAGAUUAAUACCUGAUGGUAUGAUGAGAUUGCAUGAUAGCAUCAUUAAAGAUUUAUCGGUGUACGAUGGGGAUGCGUUCCAUUAGGUAGUAGGCGGGGUAACGGCCCACCUAGCCAACGAUGGAUAGGGGUUCUGAGAGGAAGGUCCCCCACAUUGGAACUGAGACACGGUCCAAACUCCUACGGGAGGCAGCAGUGAGGAAUAUUGGUCAAUGGACGAGAGUCUGAACCAGCCAAGUAGCGUGAAGGAUGAAGGUCCUACGGAUUGUAAACUUCUUUUAUAAGGGAAUAAACCCUCCCACGUGUGGGAGCUUGUAUGUACCUUAUGAAUAAGCAUCGGCUAACUCCGUGCCAGCAGCCGCGGUAAUACGGAGGAUGCGAGCGUUAUCCGGAUUUAUUGGGUUUAAAGGGAGCGCAGACGGGUCGUUAAGUCAGCUGUGAAAGUUUGGGGCUCAACCUUAAAAUUGCAGUUGAUACUGGCGUCCUUGAGUGCGGUUGAGGUGUGCGGAAUUCGUGGUGUAGCGGUGAAAUGCUUAGAUAUCACGAAGAACUCCGAUUGCGAAGGCAGCACACUAAUCCGUAACUGACGUUCAUGCUCGAAAGUGUGGGUAUCAAACAGGAUUAGAUACCCUGGUAGUCCACACGGUAAACGAUGGAUACUCGCUGUUGGCGAUAUACUGUCAGCGGCUUAGCGAAAGCGUUAAGUAUCCCACCUGGGGAGUACGCCGGCAACGGUGCAACUCAAAGGAAUUGACGG